AUGCUGCUGAUGGCCGCGCCCGGCGCCGACGACCACCAGAGGCGCCGCCGGGGACGGCCGCCGUCCGCCGAUCUGCUCCUCAACUGCGACCUGCCCCCUCCGGCCAAGCUCUUCGGCCCGCUCCCGGCUUUGCACCUGCCGAGGGAAAGGUUGGGGAGCACGGGCGGAGCCGACGAGAAGGGUAACGGCGACGGUAAGGACAGCCUGCUGCGGGCGCUGCGCCUGUCGCAGUCGCGGGCGCGGGAGGCCGAGGAGAAGCUGGCCGCCGCGGCCGCCAGCAGCGGAGGCCUCGCGGCGCUGCUCGUGCGGGACUCGGUGGCGCUCUCGGCGCACCGCCGGUGGGUGAUGAUGCUCGAGGCCGAGAACUCCGCGCUCAGAGCAGGAGGAGUAGGAGCCGCCCGUGCGGAGACCGAGGAGCCCGAGGAGGAGGAUGGCGCGGGGGCCGCCCGGCACCCGGUGGCCGCCGCGUGGUGGGUCGCGCUGGCGGUGUGCGUCGGCCUCGCGCUCGGCAACCUCCUGCUCUGA
rnacentral:rRNA from 1 species